rnacentral:tRNA from 1 species
UCCCUGGUGCCUCAGUGGUAAAGAGUCCAUCUGCCUGCCAAGGCAGGAGACACAGGUUCGAUUCCUGAUCUGGGAA